rnacentral:rRNA from 1 species
UACGGAGGGUGCGAGCGUUGUUCGGAAUCACUGGGCGUAAAGCGCGUGUAGGCGGCCUUGUAAGUUUGGUGUGAAAGCCCGGGGCUUACCCCCGGAAGUGCACUGGAUACUGCAAGGCUAGAGUACCGGAGAGGAAAGUGGAAUUCCUGGUGUAGCGGUGAAAUGCGUAGAUAUCAGGAGGAACACCGGUGGCGAAGGCGGCUUUCUGGACGGAUACUGACGCUGAGACGCGAAAGCGUGGGGAGCAAACAGG